UCAGUUUCAUAGUUGAUUGCA
rnacentral:piRNA from 1 species